UCAUUUCCGCUAGAAGCAUUCUUGUUAUAGAUUUUGACUUGUAUUGUUCAUUUCAUUGUUUUUUACUGCCUUCGUAGCUGAAGGAUUACCGAGACUGUUUGGACUGAAUUCUGAAUAUAUAGCAUUUCUUUCGUCUGAGAGAAAUAGCAUAUUGAUUAAUUGGCUAAACCUUGAGAUAGGAGAUUUCCAACGAGGAAAAUUGAAGUAUUUUUGGUGUUAUCACUGAUCUGCAAAGACGGUGCCAACUCUAUGACAAUAAGGUGCUCCGUCCCCUAAUGGAGUAUUAUAUAACAAUCAAACUUGGUUUUGGUUGUUGCUCCUAUGGAUAAACAAAUGAAUAGUGUUCAUUUGCGUUUAAGGCAAUUACCGAAUGGGAAGUAGAUGUAUGUUGUUGUUCGUGCAUAGGCUUGUGAUUCAAUGUCUCACAGUUUGGGUAGAUCAAUUAUUCUCUCUUGUUCAUUGUAUGUUUGAUUGAAGUUACUUAAGUUGCUUCAUGGUUUAUGGAUAAGAAAUGAUUUGCAAAAAAACUGACUUGUUGAGGGAAUUUGGACCAUAUGCUGAAGAACCAUUUCAAAGAAAUACCCAUGCUGUUAUGAACAGGUUCUAAAAAACAGCCGUGGUGAAAAGUGUAGUUACAUAGGUAGCUUUCCACCAUUUAUAGUUUUCCUGGUUAUAAUCCAUUCUCAAUUCAAGUUUCUGUAACUGAAUAUGUUCAUUUGCAGUCACUUGAGAGGGUGUAUGACUGCAAGUUGCACAUUGGUCCUUGCACUACAAGGGGGAUGUAUGCCAUUACUCCAGGCUGGGAUUGCCGCAUGAAAGAGAUUAUCAACUCACUUUUUGUUUACAGGAAAAUUUAUUGAGACUCAAGAGUCAAGACAAAGGCAACAAAAUUUUGAAGUUGUGUUCUACCACUUCCCACAAUAAAUAAAAGAAACUAUAGAAAGAAGGUCAACUCAUUGUUCUUCAAUCUGUUCAAUUAAUGGAUCUUGGCUACGGCAUCUGGUGAUGCAACUAUUAAGUAUUUUACUUGUGAAAACUAUCAAGAAGCUUGCAUGAUUCCGACAACUUUUGCAGCUGUAGGGGCGAUGUCUUUCAGGUUGUGUGGAAUCCAAAUUUGGAGACUGUUGGCCUUUUGAUGCUGCGGACAAAAGGGUGAUGAGAUGGGACGUUAGUAGGAGGUACUGCAGAUAUCUAUCCAUGGAGCUCGAUGAACUGUGGUACUUAGUUAACAGCGACACCCUUCAGUUAGGUUAUAAAAUCCUUAGUUAUUGGAGCCAUUCAUAUGCGCUGAUAAUGAAGAAGGUUUUCUUGUGUUACUUUAUGACUUUCCCCUUUGACCAUCGAAUGGUACCUAUUUUGUAUAUGCUGGUGUAUAAUACUUGUUCCGGUAUAUGUUUGUUCUUCGCACACAGUGCAGAUAGAGCUGAAUCUUGACAAACUUUGCAGUAAUAAAACCUUAUUGCAUGAUGCUUUGAAAAAUAAAAAUAUUGUAACGAUUAGUUUGUGAGUUGUCCAUAUUGCUUCACCCACUCGUUCAAAAGGUUUGU